UGGGGAAUCUUGCGCAAUGGGGGCAACCCUGACGCAGCCAUGCCGCGUGAAUGAUGAAGGUCUUAGGAUUGUAAAAUUCUUUCAGCAGGGACGAUAAUGACGGUACCUGCAGAAGAAGCCCCGGCUAACUUCGUGCCAGCAGCCGCGGUAAUACGAAGGGGGCUAGCGUUGCUCGGAAUUACUGGGCGUAAAGGGCGCGUAGGCGGGUCGUUAAGUUGGAGGUGAAAGCCCAGGGCUCAACCCUGGAAUUGCCUUCAAUACUGGCGGCCUUGAGUAUGAGAGAGGUGUGUGGAACUCCGAGUGUAGAGGUGAAAUUCGUAGAUAUUCGGAAGAACACCAGUGGCGAAGGCGACACACUGGCUCAUUACUGACGCUGAGGCGCGAAAGCGUGGGGAGCAAACAGGAUUAGAUACCCCCGUAGUCC
rnacentral:rRNA from 1 species